GGAGCAAGGCCAAAUAGAGAUCUUUUGAUACGGCCCGUAUCAGAUCCGGGUAGGCCGCUUGAGGUUGUCGGUGACGGCAGCCCUAGAUGAAUGAUUGUCCUCGACAGAACCCGGCUUACAGGCUGACACUCGCU
rnacentral:RNase_P_RNA from 1 species